UGUUUCCCUCUUUACUGCGAGGGAACCUGAAGCUUAUAUAACCCGCAGCGCUACCAAGGCAGACAGGAGAGCCAUCCUGGGCGCUAGCGUGGGCAACAUCUGCGGACUGGUUCCUUCGGCAGAUUACGACAGCGGUCUACUACUGGGAACGGCGAUUCAUGCCGGCCAAGAGGAAUUCAAACUCCCUCGGCAGUGCCGUGAAUGAACCCGCGGCACGGGACAGCAGAUGACUUCCACUCCGUGUGCUGUCGUAAUAGCUCGGCAGCACAUCCACAGUCCUCGGACACCCGCUGCGCAGGAACUUGACGAUAACGGCGCUUUCCAGCCACAGCAACCCUUGGUCGGAAGACUUCGACUUCGAGAGGCCAUCAGAGUCACCGACGACGUCGUCCAGCAUAGGGUGCUGGCCGCAUAUCCUGACUGUUUGUCCGAUGACAUUUUGCACUUGCCAGACGUUUUGAGAAGGUGGUAACAAGGUGUUAUCGCUCAAAGCUCCCCUCUCACUCAUCUUAAACAUAGUGUCGCUUUAGUUUUACUGCGAGGGAACCUGCAGCCUGUGCAGCCGUAGCACUACGGGCGCGGAAAAGAAACACCUUGACGAGUGUUGGUGCAGAGGACAAAUUACGGAGCAGUAGUCUUCUAUAGGAAACUGUUUAUGCGAAUAAACAUACUGUUGUUGGUUA